rnacentral:rRNA from 1 species
AUGUCAUGUCAUGCCACGCUGGAUCCCAUCCCAUGGCCACCACAGCAGAGAAGAAGAGUUCGCGCGGACGCCUCGGCACGGCGCAUUCCCACCACACGUACGCAGCGCAGGACACAGGCGGCGUACGCACGCACGCGAACACUCCGCGCCCAUGGCCUCUUGUUGUUCCCGCGGCAGGCAGCCGAUGAAUUAAACAAGGACAAAAUCCUUGUUCCUAUCCACUGCGGAUAUAGCAGUAGCUACAAGGGCGCCUCCUCGCGUGUGCCACGUGGAACAAAUAGAUUGGGCAGGAAAAUAAAAAGAAUAAAAGGAAAAGCAAAUAGUGUAAAAGAGGUCGAACGAAACCCUCUCGUCCCCACACCCUCCGCCUCGAGCGCGUCCUCCUCCCUAUCCAUCGCCGCCACCCCCUCCUCCUCCUCCCUCUGUCGCCGCCGCCACCUCGCCCCUCCGCUGAUCUCGUGCUCUCUCCUUCUCCCACCCCGGGCUCCAUCUUCGUCGGUCCCUUCCUGCGCUCCAUCCCUUCCUCCUCGUUUGUGGCAGGCAUCACCGCUGCUGCGGAGGGCUCCUCAAACCGCCGCAUCCGAGACAACCCUAGAUGUGGCAGGCGACUCCAUCACCGGUCGCGUACGGCGGAGGCCAGCCCAGAUCCGCCUCCUCCAGCCCAUCCUCUUCGUCACGCACAACGGGAAAGGUGUUAGAGCUCCUGUGGUACUCAGAUAUGGAUGCAUCAUGGGGCUAGAAAAGGAGCGGUUCUACUGCUGCUCCUGCAAUGACCAAGGGUUCUCUGUUGGUUCAUUGGCAGUUCCUAAUUUUUUUUCCUGUAGCCGGUUGAGAGAGAGGUGGGAAAGGGAUUCCACCAUUAGCAUAAAGAUCAAGGCGGCGGGCGGUGGCCGCGGAAAGCAGGGUAUAUUGCAACUUCAGAAAUUUAUGGAAAUGAUGGCUCUAAGGGUUAGAAGAAGCCAAGAAACUGACCAGCUAAGUUUAUCCAUGAAGGCCUUCGUAGAUAGACAUCAUACAUGGUACGUCAACAACAAGUUAAGCAGACGCCAUGGACAAGUUGCUUUGGCCCUGGCGCCGCAGCCAUGGACAUGCUGCCUUUCUCAUCUCUUCUGUGUGUGUCUCUGUGCGUGUGUGUGUGUGCGCACGCGCGCGCGUGUGCGCGUGUGUUCUAUUCAAUUCAAUUUGGAGUUUGUGUUCUGUUCACGAAGCUUCCUGCCUUCUCUGCUGCAGAACAUCUCUCUCUGUUUCUCACUCUGGUGUGAUGUGAUCCAGGUCCCAGAAUCUGUGUGGUGGCAUGACAUGUACUUGGAUGCCUCUGCGCGAGGCGGCGGUGGCGGGAGGGUUUCGGCUAUUGAGACCGACACCAAGCUCUUCAUCGUCAAUUUGGACUUUGGUGUUUCAAUCGAGGACGUGAAGGGAACAACUAAGAGGAGGCGCGCCAAGGGCGCGCCCCAGCCACUAGUUCCUGCCACACGUACGCAGCGUAGGACAGGACACAGCAUGGAUUUCCGGAUAUUCGUUUCUGAGCCCGAGCUCAGCUGCUCUCGAAAUCCACACCACCAGCUCGCAUGUGGAUCUGUGUCCCCCGUGGUAUUUCCAGACCGUAUAUGUGCAUGUGAAAUCCAGCUCGGGCGCGCAAUGAAUGCGGCGGAGCGUUGCACUAUUACUGAUUCUAGCAGCUACCACGGGCAUUUUUCAGAUAGAAUAUUUACUCUGUCCGAGCUGGUCGGAGAUGCAUCUGCACAUUACCACCGACCCGCUGACCAAAACCAGAAUCAGCAUUUGAGUUUGCAGGCUCGACGCGGUUGGCCUUGCUGGUCCAACAAGGCAACAACACCAGAGGCACCAGAGGCAUCGGUUCUGGAUGAGGCAAAACUCCCUAUUAUUCCCAAUCUAUGCCAUCACAAAAAAAUUCUUCACAGAAGAUCCCAGGCUUGGGGAGGCACAGCCCCCAGCCAUACACAUAGCUCCGCCAAUGUCUGUAUGGGUUCACCUGUCGACCGCGUCGAGGAGGAACUCCAUGCCAGAAUCCUCCAUUUUUUCCUGCGGACGCCAAUGCACAACACCGGCCGUACUGUUCUUUUUCGGGGUGGAGAAAGGGGACAGGCGGUGUCCAGAGUGAACCAGCAAGGAGCGGGCGGUGUGGUGGGGUUGCUGCUUGGCCCCACACGCGAACGUGUGGCAUGCCGACGUGCGACAGACGGCUCACCUUUUCCAAUAAAGUCCUGGUCCACGGAUCGGGAUGCCCAUGAAAAACUGAAAAUACUUGAAAGGCCGGAUAAAGCACAACUGAGCACUUGCUCCAUCUCUAUCUCGAUGCUUAUCCAGAUGGCCAAUGGCAUUAAUUCUUACACUGAUAAUGUAUGCACAACCAGCAUUCGAGACCAUGUCUCAGCCCUUGAAGUUCUUGUAAAGGCAUUGCUGCCCAAAGGAUUGAAUGAUCCACAUUAUCGGCUCCGAUCUGUGGAUAGGAUUCUUGAGUAUGAAGAACUACCACUGGCAAAUUUUGGUGGAGCAGAGCAGGCCCAACCAAGCCCUAAAUAUCUCUGUGGCAGUUCGAGUCGCCAAAGUCAUACUUGGGUGACUCAUGGUGUUCGUUUGGCUGGUUUAGAGACUAAAAAGAAGGUCAAGUGGAAUGUUUCAAAGUUUAAGGCUGAUGGCGUUGAUGGGGGAGCAAAGGUGGAGGAUGGUGAUGACUCGAACUCAGGAAUGGAGGUCGACCAUGGGAGGAGAGCAGUUGAUUAG